rnacentral:rRNA from 1 species
AACGAACGCUGGCGGCAUGCCUAACACAUGCAAGUCGAACGAGACCUUCGGGUCUAGUGGCGCACGGGUGCGUAACGCGUGGGAACCUGCCCUUAGGUUCGGAAUAACUCCCCGAAAGGGGUGCUAAUACCGGAUAAUGUCUUCGGACCAAAGAUUUAUCGCCUUUGGAUGGGCCCGCGUUGGAUUAGCUAGUUGGUAGGGUAAAAGCCUACCAAGGCGACGAUCCAUAGCUGGUCUGAGAGGAUGAUCAGCCACACUGGGACUGAGACACGGCCCAGACUCCUCCGGGAGGCGGCAGUGGGGAAUAUUGGACAUUGGGCGAAAGCCUGAUCCACCAUUGCCGCGUGAGUGAUGAAGGCUUUAGGUUGGUAAAGCUCUUUUACCCGGGAUGAUAAGGCCAGUACCGGGGGAAUAAGCCCCGCCUAACUCCGG